rnacentral:rRNA from 1 species
AUACGUAGGGGGCGAGCGUUGUCCGGAAUGAUUGGGCGUAAAGGGCGCGUAGGCGGCCCGGUAAGUCUGGAGUGAAAGUCCUGUUUUUAAGAUGGGAAUUGCUUUGGAUACUGUCGGGCUUGAGUGCAGGAGAGGUAAGUGGAAUUCCCAGUGUAGCGGUGAAAUGCGUAGAGAUUGGGAGGAACACCAGUGGCGAAGGCGACGUACUGGACUGUAACUGACGCUGAGGCGCGAAAGUGUGGGGAGCAAACAGGAUUAGAUACCCUGGUAGUCCACACUGUAAACGAUGAAUGCUAGGUGUAGGGGGUAUCGACCCCUUCUGUGCCGCAGUCAACACAAUAAGCAUUCCGCCUGGGGAGUACGGCCGCAAGGUUGAAACUCAAAUGAAUUGACGGG